AACGCAUCGAGUGGAGUUGUGUGUCCUUGAAAGAACAUCACACCACAGUUGAAAACCUGGCAUCAGAAAGGAUUGGAGAGACGAGCUAGUGAAGACUGGCAACCAGACGGAGGAGGGAAAUCCAGGGUCCCGCCUGCGCAGCCGUGAUUGGGUGCUGGCUGGCCCUCCUUUCCUCAGCCGUGAAACAGGACUAUUAUUAACGCCUCCCUGUCGGCGGUGCCGGGAGAGAAGGCGGAAACCAGGAACCAGCCGCGGGCCGGCUGUACAGCGGAGGGCAGACGGGGACAGGCACCAGGAGCCCUCAUGUGUGUCAAGUGCUCAGCAGAGUCCUCAGCAGACAGCAGGUGUGGAGAAGAGCCAUCAGGGCCUGAGAGGCGCAGGCUGAGUCCUUCCCCUGCCCGCCGAGGAGUCCCAGCCCUGCUCCAGGAUGUGUGAGGGCCAGAGACAGAAUGGAAGGUAUCUACCCUAAAAGAAGUCAUCAGAAAGGAGGGUGAAGGACUGCCCUGCUGGCGCAGUGCUUAAGAAUCCGCCUGCCAGUGCAGGGGACACAGGUUCGAGCCCUGGUCUGGGAAGAGCCCACAUGCCGCAGAGCAACUAAGCCCGUGCGCCACGACUACUGAGCCUGCGCUCUAGAGCCCGCGAGCCACAACUACUGAGCCCGCGUGCCACAACUACUGAAGCCCGCGUGCCUAGGGCCCAUGUUCCACGACAAGAGAAGCCACCGCAAUGAGAAGCCUACGCACCGCAACGAAGAGUAGCCCCCACUCGCCACAACUAGAGAAAACCCGCAAGCAGCAACGAAGACCCAAUGCAGCCAAAAAUAAAAAUAAACUAAAAAAAAAAAAGGAGGGUGAACAUGGCCACUGUUAUUUACAAAAUCCGCAAACUGUGAACAGCCUAACUGUCCAACAACAGGGAUUUGCUACA